UACGUGGGGGGCAAGCGUUGUCCGGAGUUACUGGGCGUAAAGCGCUUGUAGGCGGUCCACCAAGUUUGGGGUGACAGUUGCCGACUUAAUCGGCAAAGUGCCUCAAAGACUGGCGGACUUGAGGGCCACAGAGGGACAUGGAACUCCAGGUGUAGUGGUGAAAUGCGUAGAUAUCUGGAAGAACACCAAAGGCGAAGGCAGUGUCCUGGGUGGUCGCUGACGCUGAGAGGCGAAAGCCAGGGGAGCGAACGGG
rnacentral:rRNA from 1 species